UCAGGUAAAGAGGUAUACAUGAGAGAGGUAAAGAGGUAUGAGAUCCUUCAAUACGUAGUAUUCUAGGGAAAGUAUCUUGAAGGGAGGUAAUAUCAGUGUUUGAAAGAAUUUAGUAUUUGGCAAUCUCAAAAGCUGGAGAAAGUCCUGUAAGAAAGCUCAUGAAAACCAUUUGCUCUCUCUGGAUUUGCUGAUAUUUGACAUCAGUGUUGAAGGAAUUCAUACACGCAAAGACCAAUUCCCUUUUCUUGAGUGCAAAAUUCAAGGUUAAAGAUCGUGGUUGGCUGCUCGAAAACCAGAGGAGUAGCAUCAGAGCAGAAGAUAUUAUUUUGGUAGUGGUAGGAUUAGUUUUAUGUAAUUAAG